AUUAACGCCAGCGGCAGGCAUAAUACAUGCAAGUUGAACGGCAGCACAGGUAGCAAUACUGGGUGGCGAGUGGCGCACGGGUGCGUAACACGUAUGCAACCUACCCUAUACAGGCGAAUAACCUUUAGAAAUGAGGGCUAAUACGCCGUAGUAUUACAGAUGGGCAUCUAUUUGUAAUUAAAGAUUUAUCGGUAUAGGAUGGGCAUGCGUCCCAUUAGUUAGUUGGUAAGGUAACGGCUUACC
rnacentral:rRNA from 1 species